rnacentral:rRNA from 1 species
CCUACGGGUGGCAGCAGUGAGGAAUAUUGGUCAAUGGGCGCUAGCCUGAACCAGCCAAGUCGCGUGAAGGAUGACUGCCCUAUGGGUUGUAAACUUCUUUUAUAUGGGAAUAAAGUGCAGUACGUAUACUGCUUUGCAUGUACCUUAUGAAUAAGGAUCGGCUAACUCCGUGCCAGCAGCCGCGGUAAUACGGAGGAUCCGAGCGUUAUCCGGAUUUAUUGGGUUUAAAGGGAGCGUAGGCGGGUUGUUAAGUCAGUUGUGAAAGUUUGCGGCUCAACCGUAAAAUUGCAGUUGAUACUGGCAGCCUUGAGUACAGUAGAGGUAGGCGGAAUUCGUGGUGUAGCGGUGAAAUGCUUAGAUAUCACGAAGAACUCCGAUUGCGAAGGCAGCCUGCUGGACUGUAACUGACGCUGAUGCUCGAAAGUGUGGGGAUCAAACAGGAUUAGAUACCCGGGUAGUC